rnacentral:rRNA from 1 species
UUAUGAAUAAGGAUCGGCUAACUCCGUGCCAGCAGCCGCGGUAAUACGGAGGAUCCGAGCGUUAUCCGGAUUUAUUGGGUUUAAAGGGAGCGUAGGUGGACUGGUAAGUCAGUUGUGAAAGUUUGCGGCUCAACCGUAAAAUUGCAGUUGAUACUGUCAGUCUUGAGUACAGUAGAGGUGGGCGGAAUUCGUGGUGUAGCGGUGAAAUGCUUAGAUAUCACGAAGAACUCCGAUUGCGAAGGCAGCUCACUGGACUGCAACUGACACUGAUGCUCGAAAGUGUGGGUAUCAAACAGGAUUAGAUACCCUGGUAGUCCACACAGUAAACGAUGAAUACUCGCUGUUUGCGAUAUACAGUAAGCGGCCAAGCGAAAGCAUUAAGUAUUCCACCUGGGGAGUACGCCGGCAACGGUGAAACUCAAAGGAAUUGACGGGGGCCCGCACAAGCGGAGGAACAUGUGGUUUAAUUCGAUGAUACGCGAGGAACCUUACCCGGGCUUAAAUUGCAGUGGAAUGAUGUGGAAACAUGUCAGUGAGCAAUCACCGCUGUGAAGGUGCUGCAUGGUUGUCGUCAGCUCGUGCCGUGAGGUGUCGGCUUAAGUGCCAUAACGAGCGCAACCCUUAUCUUUAGUUACUAACAGGUUAUGCUGAGGACUCUAGAGAGACUGCCGUCGUAAGAUGUGAGGAAGGUGGGGAUGACGUCAAAUCAGCACGGCCCUUACGUCCGGGGCUACACACGUGUUACAAUGGGGGGUACAGAAGGCAGCUAGCGGGUGACCGUAUGCUAAUCCCAAAAGCCUCUCUCAGUUCGGAUCGAAGUCUGCAACCCGACUUCGUGAAGCUGGAUUCGCUAGUAAUCGCGCAUCAGCCAUGGCGCGGUGAAUACGUUCCCGGGCCUUGUACACACCGCCCGUCAAGCCAUGGGAGCCGGGGGUACCUGAAGUCCGUAACCGCGAGGAUCGGCCUAGGGUAAAACUGGUGACUGGGGCUAAGUCGUAACAAGGUAGCCGUACCGGAAGGUGCGGCUG